UGUCACAAUUGUGCAGUGAGGACCUUGACCUGCUGAGUCAACUCCAUGGCCCAAGAGCCUUCAUUUUAUACAAAAAUGCACAUCAACCAGUCCUUGGCAUAUGGUAGCUCUUUUAACAUAGAUCUGAGAGAAUACUGAAAACCAGGAAAUGUAAAAUAUUAAUACUGACUUAGCUAUAGGAGUAAGCAAAGUCCCUCUACUCCCUCCCUGAGACUCCUGCUAUGAGACCUGGCUAACCUGGAUCAAUGUAUACACCAGGCUAGCCUCUAACUCAUGACUCUCCUGCCUCUACUACCUGCUGAGAUGACAAAACUGCGCACCUCCUCCUGGCCAUGUCAUCUUACGUCUACAUCUGCAGAGAGAUGCGUUCCUUUUACACUGUGAGAGUACGUCAGACAUAUUGAUCUGCAAACUUUCCAGGAAAAGGCUUUCAUAUGUCCGUAACUGUUUAACAGUAACAAGACCAAAACAACAACAGCAAAGACUAAAGCAAUUAACAUCCUCUGCGCGCCAGCUAAGAAUAUUACCGGACUUUGUGGCUGUGGUCUGUCCUCCCUAUUCUGGACACUGAGUUCUACUGUUUCCUGGCAUCUAAUGUUGCUGAGAAUUAAGCAUGAGUGAGAAAAAUGUGGCUAGCUAUCUUCAAGUCUUUUGGUUUUAGUACUUGGAGCUAAGGUUUAAUUUAUUUUUCUUAAAAGUCAUAAUAAUAGUAAUAAUAA